AUGCUCGCUUCAGCGGCACAUAUACUAAAACUGGAAAAAUACAGAGAAGAUUGGCAUGGCCCCUGCCCAAGAAUGACACACAAACUCAUGAAGCGUUCCAUAUUUUU
rnacentral:snRNA from 1 species